CCAUUUCUCCUUUGUAUCUUUCCUUACUUAUUGAUCCUUCGACUUUGAGCUCCCAUAUCAACAUGCUGUAUUUUUAGUUAUCCAUUUCUGGCCAUGCAAGGCUUGACCAUAUUCGUUUCAUCUCGUAUGGUUCACUCCAUGUGGGCUUUACGGCGCCUCACCCUUUUACGUCUGUUCCUUUCAAUUUCAUAAUCGCUUUCAGUCCCCCGUCACAGCUUGGUUCAACCUUUUGUUAACCCGUGCUGAUGUCGGGGUUAUGGCCUUUACGGUCCAAAGCGAAGAGUGAAGUCUUGACUGGGCAUGUCCUCGUUCGUUUCACUUCCACUGAAUGUAGGACUAAUCAGUCUUGUCGACAUUUCUUGCUAUGUAUACAUAUAUUCCUAAUUCACACUCAAAUUACAUUCCGUUUAUUGUUAAGGGAUGAUGCAACAACAAUCUGUCGGUUUG
rnacentral:sRNA from 1 species